GACGAACCGUGCGAACGUUAUUCGGAAUCAUUGGGCUUAAAGGGUGCGUAGGCGGGCCGGAAAGUCAGGGGUGAAAGCCUCCUGCCCAACUGGAGAAGCGCCUUUGAUACUGUCGGCCUCGAGGGGUGCAGGGGCAUGCGGAACUCAGGGUGGAGCGGUGAAAUGCGUAGAUAUCCUGAGGAACACCGGUGGCGAAAGCGGCGUGCUGGACACCUUCUGACGCUGAGGCACGAAAGCCAGGGGAGCGAACGGG
rnacentral:rRNA from 1 species